GUGAGGAAUAUUGGUCAAUGGGCGCAAGCCUGAACCAGCCAUCCCGCGUGCAGGAAGACGGCGCUAUGCGUUGUAAACUGCUUUUCCAGGGAGAGAAACUUGCGCACGUGUUGCGCAAUUGACGGUACCCUGGGAAUAAGCAUCGGCUAACUCCGUGCCAGCAGCCGCGGUAAUACGGAGGAUGCGAGCGUUAUCCGGAUGCAUUGGGUUUAAAGGGUGCGUAGGCGGACUAUUAAGUCAGUGGUGAAAUCCUGCAGCUUAACUGCAGAACUGCCAUUGAUACUGAUAGUCUUGAGUUUGGUUAAGGUAGGCGGAAUGUGUAAUGUAGCGGUGAAAUGCUUAGAUAUUACACAGAACACCAAUUGCGUAGGCAGCUUACUGAGCCGACACUGACGCUGAGGCACGAAAGCGUGGGGAUCGAACAGGAUUAGAAACCCCGGUAGUCC
rnacentral:rRNA from 1 species